rnacentral:rRNA from 1 species
ACGGGUGAGUAAUGCGUAGGAAGCUACCCGAUAGAGGGGGAUACCAGUUGGAAACGACUGUUAAUACCGCAUAAUGUCUACGGACCAAAGUGUGGGACCUUCGGGCCACAUGCUAUCGGAUGCGCCUACGUGGGAUUAGCUAGUUGGUGAGGUAAUGGCUCACCAAGGCGACGAUCUCUAGCUGGUUUGAGAGGAUGAUCAGCCACACUGGAACUGAGACACGGUCCAGACUCCUACGGGAGGCAGCAGUGGGGAAUAUUGGACAAUGGGCGCAAGCCUGAUCCAGCCAUGCCGCGUGUGUGAAGAAGGCCUUCGGGUUGUAAAGCACUUUCAGCGAGGAGGAAGGGAGUUGUGUUAAUAGCACGGCUUUUUGACGUUACUCGCAGAAGAAGCACCGGCUAACUCUGUGCCAGCAGCCGCGGUAAUACAGAGGGUGCAAGCGUUAAUCGGAAUUACUGGGCGUAAAGCGCACGCAGGCGGUUGGUUAAGUCAGAUGUGAAAGCCCCGGGCUCAACCUGGGAAUUGCAUUUGAAACUGGCCAACUAGAGUAUGUGAGAGGGGGGUAGAAUUCCAAGUGUAGCGGUGAAAUGCGUAGAGAUUUGGAGGAAUACCAGUGGCGAAGGCGGCCCCCUGGCACAAUACUGACGCUCAGGUGCGAAAGCGUGGGGAGCAAACAGGAUUAGAUACCCUGGUAGUCCACGCCGUAAACGAUGUCUACUAGCUGUUCGUGGUCUUGUACUGUGAGUAGCGCAGCUAACGCACUAAGUAGACCGCCUGGGGAGUACGGUCGCAAGAUUAAAACUCAAAUGAAUUGACGGGGGCCCGCACAAGCGGUGGAAGCAUGUGGUUUAAUUCGACGCAACGCGAAGAACCUUACCUACUCUUGACAUC